CAAGGCUAUCUGCAUGUUGACCUUCUGGUGACUCUGGAUAAUUGUUACAGAUCGCAGUCGGCUUUGAGCCGGCGACGGGUCCUUCAAAUGUCUGCCCUAUCAACUUUCGAUGGUAGGUGACCUGCCUACCAUGGUGAUAACGGGUAACGGGGAAUCAGGGUUCGAUUCCGGAGAGGGAGCCUGAGAAACGGCUACCACUUCCAAGGGAGGCAGCAGGCGCGCAAAUUACCCACUCCCGGUACGGGGAGGUGGUGACGAAAAAUACCGAUGCGGGACUCUCAACGAGGCUCCGUAAUCGGAAUGAGUGAACUUUAAAUCCUUUCACGAGGAUCAAUUGGAGGGCAAGUCUGGUGCCAGCAGCCGCGGUAACUCCAGCUCCAAUAGCGUAUAUUAAAGUUGCUGCAGUUAAAAAGCUCGUAGUUGGAUCUCGGUACCACUGUUACUCGUCAGUCCUUUGGCAGGUGGUUAUGCACGCAUGGGUACGUAUUGUGCGGCCUGUGUUGUCGCUAUGGCUGCUCUGUCCGAGUUGGCGGUGUGACGGUGUCGCCUUUCAGCCAUGUCUGUGGUGAAAUACCCUCAGGUGUAGGCGAGUGUCGGAUGGUGCCCAGCCCUAGUUGGGUCCGUCGGCUCGUCUGCAUGCCUCUAGAUGCCCUUCAAAAGGUGUCUGUGGGCGGAUGGCACGUUUACUUUGAACAAAUUUGAGUGCUCAAACCAGGCCGAUGUUGCCUGAAAAGUUUUGCAUGGAAUAAUGGAAUAGGACUUCGGUUCUAUUUCGUUGGUUUUCGGAUCCGAAGUAAUGAUCAAAAGAGACAGGCGGGGACGUUUGUAUGGCUGCGCUAGAGGUGAAAUUCAUGGACCGUAGCCAGACAAACUAAAG
rnacentral:rRNA from 1 species